rnacentral:rRNA from 1 species
AGUCGAACGAGGUGCUUUGCACCUAGUGGCGAACGGGUGAGUAACACGUAUCUAACCUACCUUUUAGUGGGGGAUAACAGUUGGAAACGACUGCUAAUACCGCAUACGACACCAUUAUGGCAUCAGAAGGUGUUAAAAGGCCCGUUUGGGUCGCUAGAAGAUGGGGAUGCGGCGUAUUAGCUAGUAGGUGGGGUAAUUGCCCACCUAGGCAAUGAUACGUAGCCGAACUGAGAGGUUGAUCGGCCACAUUGGGACUGAGAUACGGCCCAGACUCCUACGGGAGGCAGCAGUAGGGAAUUUUUCUCAAUGGACGAAAGUCUGAUGAAGCAAUGCCGCGUGAGUGAUGACGGUCUUCGGAUUGUAAAGCUCUGUUGUAAGGGAAGAAUAGGUAAAAGAGGAAAUGCUUUUAUUUUGACGGUACCUUACCAGAAAGCCACGGCUAACUAUGUGCCCGCAGCCGCGGUAAUACAUAGGUGGCAAGCGUUAUCCGGAUUUAUUGGGCGUACAGGGUGCGUAGCGGUUCGAUAAUUUUGAGGUUAAAUCCCGGGGGCUCAACCCCCGGUUCGCCUUGUAAACUGUCUUACUACAAUACAGAGAGGUAGAUGGUAUUUCAUG